CCGAACCUUCUUCUCCUUCCUUCUUCUUCUUUCCGUCCCGAUCUCCUCCCCCUCCUCUUCUCCUCCUCACUUGAAGCGAGGCGGCUCAUGGAGUACUCGGGAGGAGCCGGGUCCGAGGUCGAUGGUGCCGGCGGCCGGCCAACAUCGCCCGCUGCUCGGCCUGUAGCGGCCGAUCCCCCCUUCUUCAUCAUCCUUCUUCUCUUGAGAAGGGAGGAGGGCGGCUCCCCCUCACGGAAAAGGUCGACCGCGACCGGCGGCGCCCACGAUUGAACCCGUGGCCGUGCCCGCGGCGGCCGGCUCCCUUCUGUUCCUUGGUGGAAAUGGGGUGUCGAGACCAUCCUCUCGAAAGAAAGGGGCCUCCGGCCCGCUGCAGUUCCGACCGAGGGCCGAUGGAGCCUGCAGUUGGAGCCGGGGGCUCCUCCCUCGUUCCCAUUGGGGUAGGGGAAGUAACCCACGACCGUGGCCAUCGAUGCAGCCAUGGCAGCGGCCGAGCUCGCUGCGACCAAAGGAGGGGAGGAAAAGCCUCUGGCCGUCGACGGCUGCGGCUGAGUAUGCCAGGGAAGAAGAAGUCAGGGACUUACCUAGCUCUGGGACAACUCUAUGAUGUUCCCUCCGGCGGCUCAGAUCCCUACUCUUCCGUUCCUUGUAGCAGGAGAAAAAAGGAGUGAGGGGCAGUGAGAGGUGAGGAAUGAAACAUCCGUGAGAAGAGCCCCGGGUUCUUAUGGCACUCGAUGGGAAGGGAGAAGAGUGGUGGUGAUCGUGGCUGUCAGGCAGUUGUAACCGCCGGACAGCUGGCGAUUACCGCCUCCAUCUUCUUCCCGAAAGGCUACUUGGAUUUUCAGAUGGGCCAGCCAUGUUGGGCUUGGCCCAUUAGUCUACUGUGUGUGGGCUAGUCCUCACACAACUAUUGUGGGAAAAUAUCCAUGAAUAUGUGGUCAAUGCCUUUAUAUCUAUAAUUCCUCUCAUUGAUUUUCAUGCUA